rnacentral:rRNA from 1 species
AGCGAACGCUGGCGGCAGGCUUAACACAUGCAAGUCGAGCGGGCCUUUCGGGGUCAGCGGCGGACGGGUGAGUAACGCGUGGGAACGUGCCCUCUGGUUCGGAAUAACUCAGGGAAACUUGAGCUAAUACCGGAUACGCCCUUUUGGGGGAAGGCUUGCUGCCGGAGGAUCGGCCCGCGUCUGAUUAGCUAGUUGGUGAGGUAACGGCUCACCAAGGCGACGAUCAGUAGCUGGUCUGGGAGGAUGAUCAGCCACACUGGGACUGGGACACGGCCCAGACUCCUACGGGAGGCAGCAGUGGGGAAUAUUGGACAAUGGGCGCAAGCCUGAUCCAGCCAUGCCGCGUGAGUGAUGAAGGCCUUAGGGUUGUAAAGCUCUUUUAUCCGGGACGAUAAUGACGGUACCGGAGGAAUAAGCCCCGGCUAACUUCGUG